AGCCUCUCCAGCUGCCAGUGAGGAAAGAGAUUAUUGCUGGAGCUCCAAUAGUAGCCCCCCUACACUGCAGACUCUGAGAUCCCUCCACCUUACUUCGGAUGUCUUCUGCACUAGUCUACUGAGGUCACCCUGUGAUCAUGGUGACUCUCCACCAGCACACAGGGACAUCUGGAUAGCAGCAGCAGGUGACUCAGUCUUCCAGUCCCAACACAUAAACAAGCUGCUGAAAAAGCAACUUCAAAGUCUGUGUAAGGAAGGGAACAAUGUCAAAACUAGCAUUGGAGA